CGUGGCUUUCUUUCUCAGCGGAAAUGUUGCCAUCAGUUCUUUUUGGGAUAUCAAUAAUUUGGCAAGAAAGAAAGUCUCCAUCAAUGUAUUAUAGAGACUGGGGGACAAAAAUCUGAGAAAUGCUACCUAAAUUCCUGCAGGAUGCAUGCAGAUGUUCACAAAGAACGUACACUAAGCAAUUCAAAAAGCCACAGAAUCAUGCAUGCUGAGCGCACACUUGCCUACAUAAGGAGCAGCACUUUGACCUAGAAGCCAGGGACCAGGAAGGCAGUAAGAGAGAAAGAAACAGGGGAUGUUGAUUCCCCUGUUGUCCUUUGCACCCCUCUACUUAGUAGAUCUAACUUAAGUUGUUCAGUGGGCAAAAGUCCAGUGUACUCAGUAGCUCCAAACCAACAUUUAGUGUCAAAAAGGUAUUUGGGGCCAAGUGUGGAGGCUCACGCAUGUAAUCCCAACACUUUGGGAGGCCGAGGCGGGCAGAUCACCUGAGAUCAGGAGUUCGAGACCAGCCUGGCCAACAUGGUGAAACCCCAUCUGUACUAAAAAUACAAAAAUUAGCCGAGUAUGGUGGUGGGCACUUGUAGGAGGCUGAGGUGAGAGAAUCUCUUGAACCCAGGAGGCAGAGGCUGCACUGAGCUGAGAUCAUGCCACUGCACUCCAGCCUGGGCAACAAAGGGAGAUCAUGUCUUAAAAACAAACAAACAGGUAUUUGGAGCAAGCAAUGGACCCAGUGACAGUAACAAUUUCAAAGCAAGUAGAGAUCCAAUGGCAAAGAUGGGAGAGGAACAGCCUCAAUGUGUAGGAAAAGGUGGCUAUAACUACAAAAGCCAAGACUGUGUAUGGGGACAGGUGAGGGAGAGGAUUCACUGCCUGUGAUCCCCUGGCCAGUCGGGGAUCCAUCCAUUUCACACAUGGAUGCCGAGAAAAAGAUGUCUGAGAGGGCAGUGGGCAAGAAGAACAGUUGUGGCCGACUAGCGAGGGGAUCACAGGCAGAAACAUCAACCCUUUAAGAUGCCAUGAGCAUUGCUGCCUGAAGGUGGCAUCUCUCACUCUGAAGAAUUCCUGUGAAGAUUAAGAAGCCUUGCAAUACAUUUUUGGAAGGUCAGUUCACAUCUGUUUUCUAUUUGUCAUAUUCUGUCAGCACUUCUGUGAGAACUGAGCCAUUACACCAGCCUUGGAAGCCAGAGGCAGCUGGAUCCUUCAGGCCUGGCAUCUCCCAGGCCCGCGGUCCUACCUCAGUGGAGGAAGAGUGGGAACUGCUGUGCAUUCCAACUUCAGUUCCCUGUGUGUGCCGCUGCCACCAUCGCUCACCUGCAAACUGCUUCAAAGAGCAAACAGGCACUAAGAAUUCAGCCUGGUGAAUCCAUUGUUCUCCUCCCCAUAAAACAACAAACAACUUAGAGGCUUUUCAAUCCUCUGAUGUGUUUAAUUUGUUAUCUAGCAACAAAAAGAAGGAAAAGAAAAAGAAAUUCUCCCAAAUUCUAUGCAAUUUACAGUCCUGCAACUACAUACGGAACUGGGAUUUGCCUGAGAGACAUAUUGCAAAACAAUCGGCCCCAAGGAAAAUUCCAGAACUCAACAACACUCACAGUGGCCUAGUGAUGGUUAUCAGAAUGGUGUUUCUAAAUGGUGCUUAUCAGUGUGCAGAGUCACUUAUCACCAGUAGGCAAAGAGUUCCAUGGAUGUGGUUCAAAGGGCAGCCCAAGAAGCACCUGGGUCACAUUCCUGCCCAUCUGCCUGCAGCCCUCCCACGCCAGUAGGUAACCUAGACUUGCUUCACAGGGUCGGGGUUUGGGAAGACAAGGCAUCUAUGACAGGCUACUUCGCUCAGAUCAAUGUGUAACAAUCAAUGCCCAGUGCUUAAUUUUAA
rnacentral:lncRNA from 1 species